rnacentral:lncRNA from 1 species
CAAGACCUCCUCUUUGGGUUCAAUUAAUCUGCUAGAAUGGUUCACAGAACUCAGAGGAACACUUACUUACAUUUACCAGUUUAUUAUAAAGAAUAUUUCAAAGGAUACAGAUGAAGAAAUGUGUAGGGUAAGGUAUGGGGAAAGGGAUGGAGAGCUUCCAUGCCCUACCUGGGGUGCACCAUCCUGCAGGAACCUCUGUGUGUUUGUCUAUCUGGAAGUUUUCCAGGAACUAGGAGAGGAACUCUGUUCUUAUGGGUUUUUACAGGGGCUUCAUUACAUAAGCAUGAUUGCCUAAACCACUGGUCAUUGGUGAUCAACUUAACCUUCAGCACCUCCCCACUUCCUGGAGUCCCAACACUCUAAUCCUGCCUUGGUCUUUCUGAUGACCAGCUUCUCUCUUGAAGCUAUAUAGGAGCUCUCAGCCAUCAGCCAAUUCAUUAGCAUACAAGAAGACAUCACUUGGAAGAGUCCAAGGAAUUUAGGAGUUGUAUGCCAGGAAAUGGUGUCAAAGACCAAAUAUAUAUUUUACAACAUCACAAUUAGCCUGCCACAAUUUCAUGGACAUUGGCAGAGGACAAAAGACUCCUAGGUCAGAGACAAAGAACUUUAUUACUCACAGAAAUAGCAAUAGCCCAAGUAUCAACAUUUUCUUGUGCUAGUUUCUUGAGCCCUGACUCCCACAUGGUGAUGGAAAAGCCAGGUGACAUCUGCACACUCAGUGGACGUGUUGCAGGAGAGGAGCUCUGAGCUUUGAGAACCUGGAUCUUUUAUGUUGGGCAGUAAGCAAACCUAGCCUUUGCUCUAGAGGGAGACAUUCUCUUUACCUUCCAAGGCUGUUCACUAUACAGUGAUUCUUUUUAAGAUUGUUCUGAACAAAGGCAGCCAGUCCCUCUGCUCACAAGACAUGCAGAAACAUGAAAGACCCAUAAGGACAGGAAUAUUUUAUGUCAACCCAAUGACAUAAUUUUCUUCCCAUGCACCAAUGAGGGCUUCUGCAGAUUGUCUUUUGCAGUAUAAAAUGUGACUCGUUUACUUUAGAUGCUCUGGAACAGUUGAAGAAAACAAGAAAUAAGGCAGACUGCAACACAGACUAGAAGGUCAUGCUAUCCCUUCUCUAGCCAACAGUGGAAAAUGACAGGGGAAGUAAGCCACGCCUGGGGCUGUAAACAUACCAGACAAGAAGAAACUCAAUUCUGGAACGAGGGUAGAGGGCUGAUGGAGACUUCAUAAAGGGAGAAGCUGAGAGAAGAUGGCCUUCAGGGAGACAGGAGUGAAAGGAGAUACAGUGUUUUUACUGGGGGCCAAUGCCCAAUUUUUCACUUAAUUCUGUUUAUUUUGAGUUUUAUCACUGGAAACAGAAAGUUCAUUGAAUCAUCUCCAGGAUUCUAAGAACAAGGGGUCAUAUGGGCAGGAAAGAGCUCUCCCCACCGCAUGCUCCAUGCAAACACCUUCAGGAUGGAGAAAGACAGAGAAGUGCAGAGACAGUGCCACAAAGAGAAGGAGCUGCUAAGUCACACCUGGCUUGAAGGGGGCUUUCUUGGCUCCCAUAUUGUUGCUGCACACCUAGGAUUCAGCCUAGAUCCAGUUACUUGCUGCACAGAAAGCCAAUCACUGAAACAAUCAGUAUUGCCAGGGAAGAAAGGCUUUGUUGUGGGUGACACCAGCCAGAAGAUGGGAGACAAGUCUCAAAUCCAUCUCCCUAAGUGACUAUUGUCAGGGGUUCAUUUAAACAGGAGCUGAUAACAGGCAGCAGGUGGCCUCACCACCUGGAUACAAUUAUCUGGAAAGCUUUAGCUCCCUGACACUACCUGGAAAGCCUGAUGGUCAGCUUCCUGAAAAAGGAAAUCGGACAAAUGUAAAUUUCUCAAGCUUGAAGACUGGGAGGGUCAACUUCUACAUUUAUUCAAAAAACCCACAAACAUCAGUUCUAUGGGAAAAUUGGGCCAGUUUCAACAGAUGGGCCAGUUUCUGCGGACAGCAGCAUCUGAGUCAAACACCAGGAUAGGGCUCAGCAAAGCACAAGAGUGGAUGACAAAUUUGCUUCUUGACAUGAUAAUUCACAGGUAGCUGCAAACUCCUGCAAGAGCCUCACACAUCCUCUUACUGGGAAUCUGAAGGCCAGUUCUGGACCUGUUGAGUAGGAAGAGGAACAUUUGGAGAUGCCCACCCAAGAUUCCAGACUUGAGAGACAUGCUAGCCUCUGCAGCCUAUGUUUUCAGAAAGCAGCAGCAUGGAGGCAGGGGUGUGGACCACCCUGUCCCUGUCUGGCCCUGGGACUUAGAACCCCUGCCCUUGGCGGUAGGCAUGUUCUUCCAUGUGAGACAUUAUAUAACAUUCACCAAGGCCCAGUGGCCUCAGCUCCAUGGGAUCGGAGAGGCCAGGGAGCUGUGAGUCACACUUGCCUCAGAGCUGGGUGGGGCUCUCCCACUCAGCGGCAGGCAGCGUGCAUUCCCAUUCUGUUGUAAGCAGUGCAGCAUGCCCAGUCACACUGCUUCCCAAUAAUCUUUCAUAACAAACAUCCAGGGCGUUUCAAGCAGUGCCAAGUGGGCUCUGAAGUGGAAACAGGGAACCUGCUCUGAAGCAUAGCAGCUCUGCCACCUUCCCACUCUCGGGGCACUGCAGGGGGUGGUGGGGGGUUAGUAAAUGGAUGAACACCCUUAAUUGCCUUGCCUGUGGGCCAAAUGUGGUUAGUGAGAAAUAAGCUCCUCAAAUACAACAUGCUGGAGCUGGAUUUCACAAUCAGCUGUGAUAUGGACAUGAGUCCAGAGAGGAGUGGUAGGGCAGGGCCGGCAGUGGUGCAGGCACAGGCGUGGCCUUGGCUGCCCACUGGACUUCAGGACAGCCCUCCAGCCAGCAGCAUCAUGGGGGCAGGGGGAUCAGCCCAUGCACUUUGGCAGUUAGUUUGAGGAGUUUCUGAGUCAGCGUACUAAGAACAUUUUAUUUAGUGUCACCGUGUCCGAGGUCAAUGGACUUUCAUGGUUAUCUCAUCUUACAUCCCUCUUUCGUGGUUGGAGAGACUGAGGUCUGGGCAGACAAUUUAAUAAAAAUAAUUCAGUCACAGCUGUCUUUCUUUGGGACUAUCCCCAUUUAACAGAUGGAGAAUGAGGCUUGCUGCAAACCUGCCGGUCAGUGAGGGGCAGAGCUGCGACCUCAACCAUCAGCCUAUGGAAAACAGAUAUCUGCCCAGUUCCUGGGAUCUGUGCUUGUCUCAGUCCAUGUUCCUAUAAAGGAAUACCUGAAACUGGGUAAUUUAUAAAGAAAAGAGGUUGAUUUGGCUCAUGGUUCUGCAGGCUGUACAGGAAGCAUGGUGCCAGCAUCUGUUUCUGGUGUGGCCUUAGGAAGCUUCCACUCAGAGGGGAAGGUGAAGGGGGAGCCGACAUUUGCAGAGAUCACAGAGCAAGAGAGCAAGAAAGGAGAGGUGCCAGGCUCUUUUCAGCGACCACUUCUCACAGGAACUAAGAGUGAGAAUCACACCAAGCCACACGUGGGGUAUCCACAGCCAUGACCCAGAUACCUCCCGUCAGGCACCACUCCCAACGCUGGGAUCCAACUUGAACAUGAGACUUGGCAGGGCCACAGGAGUGCUCCUGAAACAAAUGUGACAUAGCUGGGCACCCGUUACAGGCUGAGCACUGCUUUAGGCACUCAGGUGACGGUGGAAAGUAAGAUGGAAAGAUCCCUGUUCUCACAAUUUCCGCAGAAGUUACAAGGAGAUUUGGUUCCUGGGUGCCAAGGCUUGGCAGUGUUCGAGGAUACCCCACAAGGUGCCAUCUGUAGGUAAGGCAACAGUAAUUCCCUUGAGGACUCAAAUUUACAGAGAUCCCAAACAGCAUACAUUUGAGAGACAUUUUCUCCAGACAAAGAGGAUGAGAAGGAGAAUAUCCCACCCAGAGAUCAUACUCAGAACUUAGGAAACAGUUCUUCUCAUGUUAUUGUAUUUAGAUGGUUAACAUUCUUUGUUCUUUCUCGUUUUUCAUCUACAGUGUCAUUCUCAUCAAGGGAGCAUCUUUCUCCUCAUUAAAAUAGGAGGGGAGAUAUUCAGAAAGAUAUUUAAUUUUACAGUGCAGGGAAACAAAUACUAUUUAUUUAUUAGUAUAAUUAGGACAAGAGACAAAACAUAUCUCAGAUGUCUUUGAGCCUUUUAUUGCUGCAGAUAUUGUCUUUCAAAACAUCUGAAAAUUAAGCCAUGAAGCAGCAUUUACAUUCCCCCAAUUACCAAUGGGAUGAGUUUCCCUGGGAAGGAGAGGGGAGUGGGGAGCUGCUGCAGCUGGAUCAUAUGCACUUUAUUCAUUAGGCAGUAAUAAGAAAUUUACCAUUUUCCAUAAAGGGGCUAUUUCAGAUCCCACCAAUCAAUGAGCCAGGUGGGAAAUUCUGCACCCGUAUUUGCAUGAGGGAGCAGAGUCACACCUCAAAUAUUUAAGCUAAAACUCUUUAAUAACAGCAUAAAAGCAGAGCAGGUGUUAAAUUACUGCAGGAUUUGUGUUGUCAUCCCAGCCCAAAUGUGGAUGCUCCUGAAUGACUGUGACAUUUCUGCCACGGGGAACUGGGUGACCCAGUCCUGCUAAGUCUGGCUGGGCAGGCUCUGGGGCCAAGGUGAUUGAGGACUAUGCAUAAGAAAAGAGAAGUGCACAAGAAAAAUCCCAUUCUUGAGGAAUGAAAGCUGACGGUCAUGCCUCUGGCUGCUCUGCCUACAUCAUCCAGUCAUACCAAGAACAGAGGACAGUAAGCUUCUGCACAUGUCAAAGAUGGUUUGCAUCAGAUGUGCUUAUUUUGUGUGGCAGCCAUACCUUCUUCUGGUAAAAGGAUCCCUGGUUCCCUUUGGUUCCCUCUGCUCUGUUGCAUGCAGGCUGGCUGCAAUUGUCAACCAGGGCACCCUGCCACUCUCACUGCAUUAGGCAAGGAAUAGGAAUGUGACAAAAGACAGCCCAGUUGGCUUCUUUCUUGGGACUUCGACUCUCAAGGUACAUGAGGCAAGGAUGAAUAGAAUGGUUAGGGUUGAUGAGCUGCCAAUUAGCCCCGCCUGCCUGGGUCCCUGGAGUGGCCCCUGUUUCUGUUUCUUGCAUGUCUCUGUCUCGGUGUUCCUUUGAUUUGAUGCAUUCUGUAAUAUCUUCCCAUUAAAUUUCACUUUUGCUUAAGCUAGCCAGAGUUGAUUUCUGUUGCUUGCAAUUAAAAAACCUUGACUGAUAUAAAAAUAACAGCAGCAACAACAACAGUUGCAGAUGUUGUUUAUUAAGAGCAGAGCUUUAUAAGAUGUUACCUCAUCUAAUGGUCACAGAGUCAAACUAAAGUAGGUAUUAUUAUUGCUAUCUUAUAACAUGGAGUAUUCAGAGUCAGAAGCAGCCCAG